UUGCUAAAGUGAUUAAAUAGCUUAACAAUUAAAUAAGGAAGGACUAAAAGAGAAAAUGGACCAAUUUAGGGGCUGAGAUGACAUACCGUUAAAAAAAAUCUAAGAUUUUUAUGUAUUAAGGACAAAAUUGGAAUUACAAUAAAGUUUAUGUGGCCAAAUUUUAUUUUAAGCAUUUCAAGACCAUUUCUUCUUGAAAUUUCGGUGGGAGACAGCCAUGGAAGAGGGUUUGGAGCUGGUAUUCCAUAUUUUGGCUUCACGGAGAGGAAUAUGUACAAAUUUACUGAUCUCUCAAAUUUGGUGACACUGACAGCAGCAUAUAGCAUUUGGUUUCUCUCUCUGAUGGUCCAAAUCAUCGCCAUGACAUUGCAUGUGCAUCAUGUGAUGUGAUCUUAUGUUUCAUUACAAGAUAUUGAAUUAUAUAGCUUAUCUGUCAUCAAAUGAAGAAGCCCCUUGACCUCAUGACGGAUCAACAAUUAUUAUCAUAUAUAUCAUGUUCAUUUCCUACUGUCACUAUAUAUAGUUCAGCUAUAGGGUUUUAAGGUUGAAUCAUUCGGUGUUGUUUGGAACAUUAUUGUUGAAUUUGGCAAUAUACAUAUAUUGAAUGGUGUUGAAUCUA